rfam:Pseudogymnoascus pannorum VKM F-4246 contig_3680, whole genome shotgun sequence.
ACAUAUGAGCAUAGACUAACGAGACUUGGGCAUUCCCUCUGCUCUGCUAUACACAAGCUUGAAAUCGGUGGAUUGGUAGCUGGGUGGAUUACCACCAGCGAAGACCCACUGUUGUAUGUU